rnacentral:rRNA from 1 species
CAGGUGCUAAUACCGUAUAACAAUCAAAACCGCAUGGUUUUGAUUUGAAAGGCGCUUUCGGGUGUCGCUGAUGGAUGGACCCGCGGUGCAUUAGCUAGUUGGUGAGGUAACGGCUCACCAAGGCCACGAUGCAUAGCCGACCUGAGAGGGUGAUCGGCCACAUUGGGACUGAGACACGGCCCAAACUCCUACGGGAGGCAGCAGUAGGGAAUCUUCGGCAAUGGACGAAAGUCUGACCGAGCAACGCCGCGUGAGUGAAGAAGGUUUUCGGAUCGUAAAACUCUGUUGUUAGAGAAGAACAAGGAUGAGAGUAACUGUUCAUCCCUUGACGGUAUCUAACCAGAAAGCCACGGCUAACUACGUGCCAGCAGCCGCGGUAAUACGUAGGUGGCAAGCGUUGUCCGGAUUUAUUGGGCGUAAAGCGAGCGCAGGCGGUUUCUUAAGUCUGAUGUGAAAGCCCCCGGCUCAACCGGGGAGGGUCAUUGGAAACUGGGAGACUUGAGUGCAGAAGAGGAGAGUGGAAUUCCAUGUGUAGCGGUGAAAUGCGUAGAUAUAUGGAGGAACACCAGUGGCGAA